CUGGCUCAGGAUGAACGCUGGCGGCGUGCCUAACACAUGCAAGUCGAGCGAUUCACUUCGGUGAAGAGCGGCGGACGGGUGAGUAACGCGUGGGUAACCUGCCUCAUACACAUGGAUAACAUACCGAAAGGUAUGCUAAUACAGGAUAAUAUAAGAAAUUCACAUGUAUUUCUUAUCAAAGCUCCGGCGGUAUGAGAUGGACCCGCGUCUGAUUAGCUAGUUGGUAAGGUAAUGGCUUACCAAGGCGACGAUCAGUAGCCGACCUGAGAGGGUGAUCGGCCACAUUGGAACUGAGACACGGUCCAAACUCCUACGGGAGGCAGCAGUGGGGAAUAUUGCACAAUGGGCGAAAGCCUGAUGCCAGCAACGCCGCGUGAGUGAUGAAGGCCUUCGGGUCGUAAAACUCUGUCCUCAAGGAAGAUAAUGACGGUACUUGAGGAGGAAGCCCCGGCUAACUACGUGCCAGCCGCUGC
rnacentral:rRNA from 1 species